rnacentral:sRNA from 1 species
CCCAGGGCUUGCGGCCUGGGCUAAAUUCUUGCGCCCCUGCGGGGCU